UGGGGAAUUUUGGACAAUGGGCGAAAGCUUGAUCCAGCAAUGCCGCGUGUGUGAAGAAGGCCUUCGGGUUGUAAAGCACCUUUGUCCGGAAAGAAAUCCUUGGCUCUAAUACAGUCGGGGGAUGACGGUACCGGAAGAAUAAGCACCGGCUAACUACGUGCCAGCAGCCGCGGUAAUACGUAGGGUGCAAGCGUUAAUCGGAAUUACUGGGCGUAAAGCGUGCGCAGGCGGUUUGCUAAGACCGAUGUGAAAUCCCCGGGCUCAACCUGGGAACUGCAUUGGUGACUGGCAGGCUAGAGUAUGGCAGAGGGGGGUAGAAUUCCACGUGUAGCAGUGAAAUGCGUAGAGAUGUGGAGGAAUACCGAUGGCGAAGGCAGCCCCCUGGGCCAAUACUGACGCUCAUGCACGAAAGCGUGGGGGAGCAAAACAGGAUUAGAUACCCUGGUAGUCCACGCCCUAAACGAUGUCAACUAGUUGUUGGGGGAUUCAUUUCCUUAGUAACGUAGCUAACGCGUGAAGUUGACCGCCUGGGGAGUACGGUCGCAAGAUUAAAACUCAAAUGAAUUGACGGGGUCAUAGCUG
rnacentral:rRNA from 1 species